CUAAAAAUACAAUUUGACUUCAUGUUGAUGUCAUAAAAAAAAUUUAGAACAAGUACUCGUCGUUAGAAACCCUCUCCGCAUGCGAUGUAGUCUGUUGAAGAUUUUGGCGGUGUGAUUCCUCGCUUGGCAUUAUUGCCCUUCUAUGUGUUUGUUCCAGUUUGCAGAGUAUUUCUGAUCCUGGAAAUGGGGUGCAAGAAUCGUUUGGAACAAGCAUUGGUUGAAGCGGAUGCAGAUUGCAAGAUAAAACGAACAAUUUGAAUAUUGUUCCGGCAGCAAUUGAAAAACAAAGACUACGUGGUUGGUUAAUUCGAACAAACGAGAACGGCAAAGAAUUGCGAAGCGGAAAACAAUGAUGAUAACGUGUGUCAUUAAAUUGAAAAGGACCCGGUAGUUUCUCCAUUCCGUCGCUAUCUUGCCAAGUGAAUACUUCCUAAUUAAGGUAAACCACCUUUCGCCGUAUCGGAGAACAACAGAUCAAACCACGACGUCGGUCUAGGAGUCGAGGACCGAUAUCGCCCUGCCGAUAAGGCAAAUGGGUAGUGGGCGGGUCUAGGAUGGUGGCUAUAUGCACGAGACGGUACUCGGUCCAAGAGGUGAUACACUAGACAAUUGUGAUUGGAUUUGAAUUCCGUUUAGAUAAGAAUUGAAUUUGUGUUAGAUUUGGAUUGGAUUUUGAUUUGAUUAGGAUAGGACUAAAAUUUGGUUUUGAAUAAUUAAAAAUAAGAAACGGAUUAGGAUUAGGCAUUGAAUGGAUUUAAAUUGGAUUUAGAUUGGAUUUGAAUCAUUUAUCAAAUGUUUCAUUGACUUUUCAAUUCACGUUUUGUUAGAUAAUAAAUUUCUUCUAUGUUGUUUUGGCUUAGAUUAGAGAAUGAGGCGAAUGUAGUGAAUAUAGUAGGUUGUAGCAAAAUAGAGAUAUUGUCCAUUAUUAACCAGAACAUUUGAGUUCAAAUGAAACUCUGUUUCAAUUAUAUUCGAACGAGUUUGACGAUUAUAUAUAUUGUAGAGAUGAUGAUUAUACAGAAGAAGAACGACGGAGCCGAUCUGUUUGAAUAAUGUAAAGAUUAUGCGUGUUAAAGAGAGAGUGUGCGUGUGAUAGUAGACUGGCCCAAAAUGCAUGAAAUCCUGAAUUUCAAACCUUGCACCCUUAAAUGACAGUUUGUGGGUCCCAGAAGCUCCCCUGAAAAUUUCAACUCAUUCGGUCCAGCGGUUGGCGUGCGCAAAUGGCUCAAAGUUUGUAUGGGAAAAGUGAUCCAAAUCUGGGACGGGACUUGCAAAGAGGAAAAAAUGUAACUUCAUCUGCAACCAGCAAGCGCUGUCAUGAAUUGUCAGAUGCAACCAGCACCUUUUUGUGUGAAAGUAUUGGUAUCCCUCGAAAAGUAUUCCGAAUGAUUUUAUUUUACGAGUACUUUUUCACUUUGAAAAGUAUUCUACAAUAGCCGGACAGAUUAUUAUUGAACAGUUAAAAAUACAUGUUUUAUUUCCGAUAGGAAAAUCUUUAUAAAAAAAAGUUUACAAAUUCGUAAAUUGCAAACACGUUUAUUGUGCUCAGAAGAUUCUACCCGGGAUUUAGGUGAAACACUCAAGGAAACAGUUGAGAAUUGAUGAUCAACUGUGAUGAAAAGAAGAACAAGUGUCAAAACAAGGAAAAAGAAAGCCGUCUUUGCAGGUCUCGUCUCAGAUCCAAAUGUACGGGGAAACGCAACCGUUCCAGUUUUUUGCUUCUAGGUGGCGCUGUAGUCGAUGGAUUCCUGUUGUGGACAAAAUGUAGAACCUUUUUUAUAUAAGGAAGCGACUGGUGAAGACCGGAUGUAAAUCCCUUUGAAAUUGGCCAAAUUAUAAGCAUCCAA